GAUGAACGCUAGCGGCAGGCUUAAUACAUGCAAGUCGAGGGGCAGCAUGAAGUAGCAAUACUUUGAUGGCGACCGGCAAACGGGUGCGGAACACGUACACCACCUUCCUACAAGUGGGGAAUAGCCCAGAGAAAUUUGGAUUAAUACCCCGUAACAUAGCGAUGUGGCAUCACAUUGCUAUUAUAGCUUCGGCGCUUGUUGAUGGGUGUGCGGCUGAUUAGAUAGUUGGCGGGGUAACGGCCCACCAAGUCUACGAUCAGUAGCUGAUGUGAGAGCAUGAUCAGCCACACGGGCACUGAGACACGGGCCCGACUCCUACGGGAGGCAGCAGUAAGGAAUAUUGGACAAUGGACGCAAGUCUGAUCCAGCCAUGCCGCGUGAAGGAUUAAGGUCCUCUGGAUUGUAAACUUCUUAUAUAAGGGACGAAAAAAGGUCUUUCUAGAUCGUCUGACGGUACCUUAUGAAUAAGCACCGGCUAACUCCGUGCCAGCCGCCGCAGUAAUAC
rnacentral:rRNA from 1 species